rnacentral:rRNA from 1 species
GAUGAACGCUGGCGGCGUGCCUAAUACAUGCAAGUCGAGCGAACGGACGAGAAGCUUGCUUCUCUGAUGUUAGCGGCGGACGGGUGAGUAACACGUGGAUAACCUACCUAUAAGACUGGGAUAACUUCGGGAAACCGGAGCUAAUACCGGAUAAUAUCUUGAACCGCAUGGUUCAAAAGUGAAAGACGGUCUUGCUGUCACUUAUAGAUGGAUCCGCGCUGCAUUAGCUAGUUGGUAAGGUAACGGCUUACCAAGGCAACGAUGCAUAGCCGACCUGAGAGGGUGAUCGGCCACACUGGAACUGAGACACGGUCCAGACUCCUACGGGAGGCAGCAGUAGGGAAUCUUCCGCAAAGGGCGAAAGCCUGACGGAGCAACGCCGCGUGAGUGAUGAAGGUCUUCGGAUCGUAAAACUCUGUUAUUAGGGAAGAACAUAUGUGUAAGUAACUGUGCACAUCUUGACGGUACCUAAUCAGAAAGCCACGGCUAACUACGUG